rnacentral:lncRNA from 1 species
GCUUAUAUCAGUGUUCUCCUUCAAUUAAUAAUAUUUGUGUAGUAUAGCAUAAAAUGCUUAGUUACGGUUUAAUUGAAUUCCUUUUUCGUUUAUCUUCUUUAAUAAAUAUCAAUUUGGAGGCAAUGACGUACUGAUAUUUAAUUGACUAAGUUUCAGGUACGUACUAAUUAUAAUGGUGCCUUUCACGUAAUAGCAACAUGCGAGUCAGGUUUCAAUCUAAAAGCAAAUGAAGAUUACCUCCAUAUUGUUUAAUAUUCAGUAUUUGGAGAAGAGAAGGGCAUCAUGUACUAAUAGACUAACUCAGAUUGACCAAUCAAUGAGUUGAACCCACAAAAUUGAUUUCAAAGAUAUAAACUUAUUGUGAAAAUUAGGCUGCAUAAAAUUAGUCGUUACCCUUUCACCUUUCCCUUUUGUCUAAACUAAUUAACCACCGACGCUUGUCAUCUGCCAAGCUCAAAAAAAAUUAAAACCAUAAUAUGAAAAACUUUUAACAUACCAUGCAUAUCUUUAUCUCUACUAUCCAGAUAAAAAUUCGCGGAUGUACUUUAAAAAUCCCGGAAAGUUUCCAUCUGAGGAACGUUUCUCCAAACUUUCGGUGUUUUUUAAAGUACAUCUACAAACUUAUUUUUUCGCAUAAGUACAUAAGCGGAUGUAACCUUAUUGUCUGGCGCUGAAACAGAACUUUUGACGCGAAAUAUAGAUAUAUACGUAAAUAUUUACUUAAAUCUCAACAAAUAUUAGAUGUGAAUUCAUAAUUAUAAUAGCACAAAGAGUUCAAUGCAAAAUUAAACCAAAUAAAUAUAAAUCUUUGAUUCGUCUCUGCUCGAAAUGUAGAAAUUGAAGAAGCUUCUUGUUAUGCUUGCUUUCUCCAAAAUGUUUUUGCUAAACUUCUAGUAUCAAAAAGAAGUUCCUUCCUGUUGAGUAUUGAAGCUUUGAUGAUUAACAAAGUAGAUCUAAAUGCAAUAAUUCAAAGAACUAGGUCCUGAACGUAGUUGCUUAAUUGUUCUAAAGAACUAGUUUCUCAUGUUGAUAAUUGUACGUCCGUACAAGACAAUAACUUUAUCUCAAAGUUACCCAGGUCCGAGUUUGGUGGAAGAAGGAUGCUAUAUGUGAUAAGGGUUGUUGCUCAAGAAUAUACGGAUAAUUCCAUCAGGGACAGAAGUCCCAAAGCUUGUGGAAUCCUUGGAACAGUAGGGUUGUUGCUCAAAAAUAUCUGUUUUUAUCCUUUUACACAUCAACUGAAGAGUCAUAAGUUGUUUACUCCAAUCGAGUACUUGUACUAUAUUCUUUUUGAGUCAGUCUAGUGAAUGUGUUUUAGGAAAUUGAGUUGGAAUCAAGGGUCAUAAAAAAUUGGUGAGUUGGAGUGAGUGUUUGCUUUACAAGUUAGAGUAACUUGUAAAUCAAAUAGCCGUAGCAGGAGUACUGGAUAGUAUUGAAUUGCAGUCUUAUAAUUGAUACAUUUUUAGCUCAUUGUUCUAGUGGAGUUGAUGUUGAAAAUCCUACGUAGUUAGUCGUGGUUUUUGCACCAUUUGAGCCGGGUGAUUUUUCACGUAAAAAUCGAUGUGUUUACUUUACUGCUUAUUUACUUCACAUUUAAGAAACGUGGCAAAGAAUCUAGUUCUUUAGUAAUUCAUAUGGACACUCAAACUAACAAUUGGUAUCAGAGCUGGUUCUGUCAUUCACACACGGCUAACACCUAGAGAGAUCUUGGAAGCAACAUGAGUGAUCCAACUAGAAUUAUUGAAGGACAAACAACUACCAGGCCUCCCAUGUACAAUGGAAAAUAUUACAGUUGGUGGAAAGCAAGAAUGGAAGACUUCCUAACGGUUAAAGACUAUGAAGUAUGGAUCGUAGUGAACCAAGGUCCAUUGACUCCUACUAAACAAAAUGCAUAAAAUGAAACAGUUCCUAAGGACCCCUCUGAAUUUGUAGCAGCAUAUUUCAGAAUGAUGGAGAAUAAUGCAAAAGCUAAGAAAAUCCUUAUGACUUGGUCCUGAUGAGUACAAUAGAAUUUCUGCGUGCUCUAAUGCAAAGCAGAUAUGGGAUGCACUCCAAACUGCUCAUAAAUGAACAAACCAAGUGAAGAGAUCAAUGAUAGUGCUACUUAUGAGAAACUACGAGCUCUUCUCCAUGAAGGAGUAUGAGGCCAUCCAGGAUGUGAUGACUAGGUUUACUAUAAUAACCAAUGAACUGAAACUAUUUGGCAAGGUGUUUACCUCAGAAGAGUUGGUUUGCAAAGUUCUAAGAAUCCUUCCAGCUUCAUGGGAAUCAAAAGUCACUGCAAUCCAGGAAUCCAAGGAGCUGGACAAAAUCUCACUUGAUGAGCUGGUUGGAAACUUAAAAACUCAUGAAAUGAAAAAGAUAGAACUGCGCAAGCAAGAACCAAAGAGGGAUUUGACCAUGGUUCUUAAAGCGUUUGAGGAUGGUGAAUCUGAAAAUGAUGAUCCUGAUCUAGCAAUGUUUGCCAAGUUCAAGAGGUUCAUGAAGAACUCCAAAAGUGCAUCCAAGAGAGAGGCCAUUAGUAAGCCUAAGCAGAUCGACAAAGCUAACUAUGAUGGGUGCUACAAGUGUAGCAAGUUAGAUCACAUGGUCAAGGACUGCCCAAUGUAAAAAAUUGAGUAGAGAAAAGAACAAGCUGAAAAAGAGAAACGGGAAAAGAUGAGAGAAAAUGGAUCCAGCAAAGGAAAAAUCCUAGGCAAAAUAUUCACUGAAGCAAUGAAGCAAGCUUUCUUGGCAGCAUAUGAGGAUAGUGGAAGUGAUAAAGAGGAAGAAAAAGAGGAUGAGGCUAUAAGUCUCUAUGGUGUAAUUGAUGAACACCGGGCUGUGGAGAAAGAUCCCCCAGUAUAGCUUGGAAUGCAUAUUUGAAGACCCCCUUUGUUUUAUGAACACCACUAUGAUGAAUGGAAGCUACAUAUGGAAAUAAUUCUUCAUGCCACUGACUUUUACAUAUGGGUAAUUGUCAGUCAAGGACCAAUUCUCCCAACCAAAAUGGAUAGUGAAGGUAACAAGUGAAACAAAAGAGAAGAUGAAUGUGAUGAGGAAGAUCGUCGGCUAUUUUAGAAAAAUGCUAAAGCAAAGGACCUGCGCUAUAGAAGCUUGUCCAAAACACUCUCUUCAGAUUGUCCUCUUGCAUCUCUGCUCGUGGUAUAUAGAGGACCUUGGAAGCUGACUAUGGACAUGAAGAUGUCGAAGUGGCAUUGAUGGCGAUUGAAGAAUCCGAAACAGAGGAAAAAGUGAUAGGAAUGAUAGCCAUGAGUGAUUUAAAAACUGAAGAUGAAACAAACCAGGUAAGUAUAUCUAACUAGAAAGAAAACAUUCAUGCUAAGUCUAUAAAAUAAUUGAUCGCCAUAAUUGUGACCUUGAUGAAUGAAGUGGAUAAAAUGAGUACUGAAAAUUUUGAGACAUAACAAAAUUGAACCAUAAUUAGGAAGAUAUUCUUGGUCUCAGCUCAUUUGAGCAUUUUAUCAGACAACAGGUGUGCAAAUUUAACCACAAGGUUCUUCUACAAGAUUUCCUUCACUCCACAACCCAAUCCUUACUUAUUUCAGCUCAACAAUCUUUCCACAAUUCUUAUUGGUACAUGUAUGUAUAAAUAAUAAUCUCAUACCCAUGAAUCAUACUCCUAAUCAACCAUCUUCUACCCAAAUUCGAAAUUGAAAACUAGGGUAUGGAACCUUAACUCUUUGAUGAAGAACUUGUGGGUUUUCCUUGUUAAUCUUCCAAGAUUUGAGCAAUACUUGAUGAAUAAUUAGCCUAGGGUUUCCCCUCUCUCUAAAACACUCUCCCUUCUCUCUAAAACAUCAAAAUAUUUGCUCAAAAAUGACCCUUUGCGUGUAUUUAAUGAAGUAGGGUCGGGUUGUAAGAACACAAAAUAGAGCUCCGGAACAGGUUCGGUGAUAAUGGAUAUGCGGACCACAUAUCGGUUGCAUAAUUACAGACCAAAACGAUCAAAAAUCUGUCAGUGUAUGCGGUCACUAUGCGGUCCGCAUAACUGUUAUGCGAUCGCAUAAUGCACCGCAUAACUGUUAUGCAAUCGCAUAGUCGACCGCAUAACUGCCCCCAGACUGGCCCUUCUCCUGCUCACUUCUGCAGCCAUUAUGCGGCGUGCAGAGUGGUUCUGCGGUCGCAUAAUGGACAGCAGAAAUGCGUUUUUCUGCCAAAAAGUUUCCUUUACUUUCUGGUGCAUUGUUCAACCUAAAAAGUCUGAACCGCGGUGAGCAAGCUCUACGUGAAGAUUUUAUACCAUCCUCAAACACGUAAGCCUACUCCGGCACCACUAAACCUUGAAUUCACUUGCGAAAUAUACGGGGCUUUAACUAAAAUACUUUAAAAUUUUCCGGGGUGUUACAAUAACGCAUAUACCUAUGCAUGGUAUGGCAUUUAUACGCAUAUGUGUGACAUUAUAAAAAUGAAAUGAUUCACAGAGCUAUGCAAACAUACAUGUCGAGUCUUUUACUCCAUAUUUCUCUCAUGUCUAUUAUUUACUGAUUUCCAUUCCUUACAUACUCGGUACAUUAUUUGUACUGACGUCCCUUUUGCUUGGGGAUGCUGCGUUUCAUGCCCGCAAGUCCCGAUAGACAGGUCGAGAGCCCUCCAAGUAGGCUAUCAGCUCAACGAAAGAUGUUGGUACACUCCAUUUAUUCCGGAGUUGCUUAUGUGGUCACUAUGAUUAGGACAUGUACAGAUUAGUAUGGUGGGGCCCUGUCCCGACCUUUGUGACAUUUAUGUACUCUUAGAGGCUUGUUGACAUAUGUCGUGUACGUGAAAGAUUGUACGUCCUUGUCGGCAUAUGUUUUGAGUUUAUAAAUGAUGAUGUUGGUGUAUUAGGCUCGUAUGUCACGUGUAUAUGAUGAUAUAAUAAGAAAGAUACGCUACGUUGGUACUCAGUUGAGUAAGGUACCGGGUGCCUGUAGCGGCCCGUCGGUUUGGGUCGUGACAAGUUUUCAUUCAGCCAAUUCAAGGCAUCAAAAGAUCAAUUCCAUUUACUUAAUCUAGUGAGCUCAUAAUUAGCCUUUCUAGAUUUUCCUCCUAGAUUUUAUUUUUAUAUUCAGCAUCACAAAGAUUAUCUUUAGCACUUUUUAAUUCCUUUUUAUAUUUAACGUGCAUAUCACUCAUUUUUCCUUUACCAUGUAUAUUAGGAGACUUAUCAUUCUUAGAAGUAAACUCAAGAGCCUGGUUCUCGAGGUCUUUGGCCUGCUCCUCUAAAUUAGCUUUGUCAGAUUCAAGCACUUUGAUAUCAAGUUUGAAACAUGAAAGAUUACUUAUUAGUUGAUCAUUUGCAGUACUCAUUUUAUCCAUUUUAUUCCUCAAGGUCACAAUUAUGGCCAUCAAUUAUUUUUCAGAGAUAGCAUGAAUGUUUUCUUUCUAGUUAGAUAUUCUUACCUGGUUUGUUUUAUCUUCAGUUUUUAAAUCACUCAUGGCUAUCAUUCCUAUCACUUCUUCCUCUGUUUUGGAUACGUUAAUCGCCAUCAAUGCCACUUCGACGCCUUCAUCUCUAUAGUCAGCUUCCAAGUUCCUCCAUAUACCAUGAGCAGAGAUGCAAGAGGAAACACUAAAGAGAGUGUUUCUGGACAAGCUUCUAUAGAGCAUGUCCUCUGCUUUAGCAUUUUUCUGAAAUAGGUGACGAUCUUCCUCAUCGCAUUCCUUUUCUCUUUUGUUGCACUUGUUACCUUCACUAUCCAUUUUGUUAGGAGAAUUAGUCCUUGACUGACAAUUACCCAUAGGUUAAAGUUAGUGGCCUGAAGAUAUGUUUCCAUACGUAGCUUCCAUUCAUUAUAGUGGUGUUCAUUAAACAAAGGAGGUCUUCCAAUGUGCAUUCCAAGCUGUACUGGGGGAUCUUUCUCCACAGCCCGAUGUUAAUCAAUUACAGCAUAGAGACUUAUAGCCUCAUCCUCUCUUUCUUCCUCUCUAUCAUUGGUUACAUGGUUAGAUCUUAUACUUAAUACAUUGCACCUUAGUUUUUGUUGAAUCAUUCUAACAAAUACACAGAAAACAUCAAAGGUUUCAUCUUUAGAUCCCCAAAAUAAAGUCUACAUAUACCUUUUUAGAAGGAGUUCAUGUGAAGGAGUUCCAGAGGUUUUGAAGUACUAACAACCUUUUUAGAUUUAAAGGAUAAACUUACAUGUUUCCCUCUAACACAUGCAUCACACACCUUGUCAGAGGAGAACUCAACUUUAGGUAGCCCAAGGACCAAGUCCUUUGCUGCCAACUGGUUGAGUUGAGAGAGAAUGGCAUGUCCCAGUCUUCUAUGCCAUAGAAGUGGAUCAUCUUUCACUACACUCAAGCAUGUCUGCUCACUCUAGGAAAGUGACAUAAUUGAUAUCUUGUAGACAUUGUUAAGCGUGUGUGCUCACUCUAGGGAAGUGACAUAAUCGAUAUCUUGUAGACAUUGUUAUGUCUCUUACCAUUUAAUACAAUUUCAUCAGUAUCAAGCUUAGUGACAGUGCAAAUUUUGGAAUUGAAUUUUACCUUAUUUCCUGUGUCGCACAUUUUAGAGAUGCUAUGAAGAUUGUGUUUAAGACAUACCAUAUAAUACACAUCUUCUAUAGAAUGAGAGAGUGACGUACCAACCUUGCCAAUACAUGUUAUCUGGCCUUUUUUUCCCAUUUCCAAUUGACACACUCUCUCCAUGGAAGGUUGUUAGUGAGAGAAAGUUUUUCUUUUCUCCAGUCAUAUAUCUUGAGCAUCCAUUGUCUAGAUGCCAGUCAUGAUUGUUCCCUCUCACCUUAGCCAACACCAGAAUUCACAAGUUAGUUUUGGGAACCCAGACAAACUUGGGUCCCUUUUUGUUGGAAAAAGUAUGAAUCAGAUCCCUUCUUGCCUAUAAGGGGAAUGGAUUAGAAUCCAUUUUCUUAAACCUUAAUCCAAUUAGUAUGGAUAAGAGGAUUGAAAUUUGGCUCCUCUUCCUUCUUCACAAUUUUAGCAAUACCAAAGGUGCUUCUAAACUGAGCAUCAAUUAAUGCAGGACAAGUGUCUCUAAAGUAUCCUACCUUUCCAGAAUGAGUGCACAUGUUAUUAUCAGAGAUUCCUACAUACUUUGGGUCAAACAUAGGAACAGAUUUUUUUUAGCCAAUUCUAGAUUUGUUAGAGUUACAUUUUUCAUUCAGCCAAUUCAAGGCAUGAAAGGAUCUAUGCCAUUUACUUAAUCUAGUAAGCUCAUAAUUAGCCUUUUCUAGAUUUUCCUCCUGAAUUUUAUUUCUAUAUUCAGCGUCAAAAAAAUUAUCUUUAUCACUUUUUAAUCCCUUUUCAUGUUUAACCUGCAGAUCACUCAUUUUUCCUUUACCGCGUAUAUUAGGAGAAUUUUUAUUCUUAGAAGUAAACUCAAGAACCUGUUUCUUGAGGUCUUUGGCAUGUUCCUCUAAAUUAUCUUUGUCAGAUUCAAGCUCUUUGAUAUCAAGUUUGACACAUGAAAGAUUGCUUAUUAGCUGAUGCUAAGUAUCUUGCCUAGUUUUGUUGGGGGAGUUUUUCUUACUAAUUGAUAUUGUAUGCUACAUUUGGGGGUAAUGCAUAUAGAAGGUGACAAGCGUAUAUGCAUGUGCCAAGGUUUUCAUGCUCGGGAGGGGAAAAAUAUAUGCUUCUUUAUGCCAUUGUUGAACUUGAUAUCCCUUAACAUAUGCUUCAUAUAAUUCAAUGACUAAUAAAAUCAAUUAUCUGCGUUAGAAAUCAUGUUAAAAUAUAUGACAUCUUAAAAUGCAUUUAAUGUGCUAUUUUUGAGAUUCGUCUGCGUACUUAACUUGAUCGUAGUAUCAGGAACCUAUAUCUAUACAGGUUCUUGUCAUGUUACUUGAUCUUCUUUAGUCAUAGUAAGUGAUGAUGAUUGGGGCCUUAGGGCUAUGUUUGGCACGACAGGUAAUUCUGUGCGAUUGAUAUGAUGUUGGCAUGAUGAGUAUUUCUGUGCGGUUAGAAAUGAGAUUGCUUUAUUGGUUAUUACCGUGUGAAAAGAAAAGAAGUUGGAUUUCUGUUAAGAUUACUCAUUUGUUAAACAUUUACAUGCUCGUUACUUUGGUUUUAUUAAUAUUCGUUAUUCCAUGUGAUACCUCCCGUUUGAGUUCUUUUUGUAGUAACCUUUGUAUUUUCCAUCUGGCAUGUUAUUGUUAUAGCUAUGCGUUAACCUUGUCUUUUACUGUUACACCUAUGCUUUGAUUUAAUUUACUUCUGCUACAUAUCCUCUUCGAAUUCAUGCAUUUACUUGUUAUGAGAUCAUACUUGUUACAUGCCUCUAAUUGUCACGUGAUUUACUUGUUAAAUGCCUUAAUCUGCUACAUGUCUUCACUCACUACAUUCUUUCACUUACUAUAUGUCUUCACUUACUAUAUGCUUUUACUUACCAUAUGCCUUCACUGAUUAAAUGCUUUUGCUUGCUACAUGAUUUCAUAUAUUGAAUGCCUUCAUUCGAUCCCUGUUCUUACUUGAUAAACAUCUUAACUCAUUUCAUGUUCUACUCUCUUUUGUUAAUCGGAUUGGGUGACUUUUAGACUGGUUAUGUGUUAUUCUUUUUAGAAGCCUUGUGAUUAUAUACGAUAAACUAGCUUUUGAUAUUGGACUGCCUAUUCUACUAUGUCUGAGUUAUAUUAUCUAGUUGAAUAGCGCGUGUUCAUUUUCUUAGUGUUACAUUAUGAAUGUAUCCCGCGUUUGGUUGUUGUUGUGAUUUCAUAAGAUAGUAUUAUAUAUUGGUAUCGGGUUGCAAGCUGCAACAGUGUUGUUAUGUAAAUGGGGAUCAGGUUGCACGCUGCAAUAGUGUUAUUAUGUAUUUUGGGAUCGGAUUGCAUGCCGCAAAAGUGUUUGAUAUAUAUGGGAUCAGGUUGCAUGACACAACAGUAAAUAAUAAUAUUGUUAUCGGGUUGCAUGCCGCAACAAUAUUCAUUAUACAUAUGGGAUCGAGUUGCGCCACAAUGGAGCAUAUGUAUUAUGGUUAUUCUUGUCUUUGAUUCCUGUUAUCGUAUUAUGUUGUGAGACUAAGGAGUGAUGAUAUUCUGGGGCCCUCUAUUAAUUGUAGCCUUGUUUCAUUUAUUACGUGAGUAUUUGUGUAUCUUUCUCGUAUUUCUCUUUUUGCUUAUCAUCUGCACAGGUAAACGCAAUAACUGAGUAUCUUUUAACUUAAAACCUCGUUACUACUUCACCGAGGUUAGUUAAAAUACUUACUGAAUACAUAGGGUCGGUUGUAAUCAUGUUACACUUCAGCACCUUGUUUGUUGAUCUUGGAGCCACGUAGCUAUGAAAGAUAAAGCCUUGCACUAAAGAUGUUCUAGCGUUCCAGAGUCAAGCUAUCUCUUGUUCAUGGUAGUUUAGGACUAAAACUCUAUUUUUGUAAAUUUCAAACAGAUAUUGUAUCUAUUCUUCAUUUCAGUUUAUAAAUCUAAAUCAUAGUGGCUCAUGACUUGUACUACCAGUACUUGGGAGGUUGUAUAGAAUUCAGCAUUUUAUUUCUUAUUAUAAAUAGUCUAUCAUUUGAGUUACAUUGUUCUAUGUUUGGGUUACCUAGUAUUAGGGUUAGGUGCCAUCAUGACUAUGUGACUUUUGUGUCGUGACAGGUUGGUAUCAGAGGAUUAGAUUUGUAGAUUCUACGAAUCAUGAGCAAGUAUCUAAUAGAGUCUUGUGGAUUGGUAUGCUGAUAUCCAUACCUAUUUUUAAGAGGCUACGAAGGGUUGUGGAUGCUUGGUUAUUGUCGUGAUGUGUUGUCUAGGCUUUGAUGUGAAUGUGUUGGUAGAUCUUUUCAGUUGUUAAUUUGUGAGGUGAAGCAGAUUCUUAUAUCUUAUCGGUGAGUGUAUUUUUAGGAGUAUUAAUCGAUUACCUAGUUUAUUGUGACCAUCAUAGGUUCAUGGGAAGGCGUUGAUUUGAGUCUAGCUGAUGGGUGGUUACCUCCCGCGUGAAGAGUUGAGGUUGCAUGUUUUGUAUGACACUUCAAUUCAGUGGAAUGCAUACAUUAUUAUUUUUAGAGCAUUUGAGGAAAUUUGUUGGACUGUCACCAGGCUGAUUAUGCACUUGGGACAGUCUUUGGAAUAUUUUAUGACCAGUGUUACAUAAGUUUAUGAUGUAUUUAACUGAUUAACAGUGAGGGGCCGGGGGCAGCUAUAAAGUAAUAAUAAUCUGGGUUACAAACGAUGUGGUCUAUGACUUCGAGUUAAGUAGGGGAGUCUGUUAUGGAUGAUCGGAUUGCAUGAUCAUGCGUUGUAUUAAUUCUUGGACUAGGAUGUGCUUAUGGAUUGGCUAUGAUUUGAGAAAGGUUUCAUCGAGGAUGAUUUUGAGCAAGGGAUUGGUGGAUGCUUGAUGUAAUGUGCCUUACGGUCUUGGGAAAUAUUCAAGUUUGAUGCUCAUUGUGGAUGCAGUGUGCAAGAAAAAGAAAUUCCUUGGUUGCUUCUUUUGGUUAUUAAGGUGUUGUCAAAGCGUGGCUUAUUCGGUUUGUAUCGGUUGUGUAGUAGAGAUUAGAGCAAGGUGGGUGACUAUCGAAAGGUUCUGAUGAGUUCAAGAUUCAUAUGUGGCAUUUGAGGAUUUUUUAAUUUGUGUAUGGUUAUAGCUCGAGAUCGGUAGUGAAUGGUAUCCGGAUUUGCGGUACUUCUAUAUCAAGAAUGAUUCUACAUAGAAGUAUUAGGGAGAUGCAAGAAACGACUUCAGAUUCGCAGAAGGUUCCUUCAGAGCGAGCAUUUCAGAUUGAGUUACUUUUGGGUUUGGUAGUCUGCGUGACUCAAAUAAGUUAGAGGAGACCAGCUCUGAUGACUUGAUUAUGUGUUAACAGGUUUUGAAGAAUUCACGAUAGUUAUGGCCACGGCUCGGGGUUGAUGUCUUCUACAUGUAUAGGAGGUGUAUUGUGUGUGGUGAAGUUCCCCUAAUUGAGUUAAAUGGAAGGUCCACGAUUGUUGAGGUGUUCAACAUGCUUGUGGUUCAGAGUUGAUUAUGAGAAUGUCGUAAUUUCACAAAUUAUCAUGAUAAAGGCGGUGCACCGUGUGGGAUUGAAAGUUGCGAACACAUGGUUGGAUUAUAAUUUCGGAGGGAAGGUCAUGAGUUCUAGACAGCACGGGUGAUUUCAGAUGUUUAAGAGAAUGCUGGCACUAUUUGAUGCUGCAUGAGAAGAGUGCACAUUUUAGAAGGCGCAUUGUAUUUUGAAUUGCGGAUUCUUGCCUAGUGUUACGGUGAUCGCCUAGUUUUGAGUUGCUUAGAUUUAGGUUUUGCUACGUGGCAUAGGAGAUCUAUAUGAGCAUUUUCUUUAGGAUGAUGGAAUAUGAAUGAAAUAUCAGCCAUUUGAGCAGUGGAGUUGGGAUCGAAUAUGAAGAUUCCAUUAUUCUUGAGGUUUAGAGACUGGAUGUUCUCACGGACAGAUUAUUCCUUGGUUAUGGACUGUGAAGAUAUGUUAAGAAUUAGUUAGCAGAUGGUAUGUGUUAUGAAUAGGUUUUUAUGGACUUUUAGAAAGUUAUUUACCUGUUUGGGGAUUAUCAGAUUUGGUUUGAUGGGGGCUAUUUCUAAGCCUAAGGAGAAUGUGUAUUCUACAUGAUAUCGGGUUUGCUUAUUCUUACGCAAUUGCUACGGUGGGUAUAUCAUCGGGGAAAAUGGAUGUUGUUCGUGCCCUGGUCUAUAUUAUGUGUUUUUCUCUUAUGAUAUGAUGGGUUGUGAGGUUAAUAUGACAAUUCACAGGCAUGUUGUAAUCCCAUUUAGGCCUUAUGGGGAAAUGGGCGAGAUGGCCCUCAUGAUGUUGAUUUGCUUAUUGCACCUUAGUUGUGCUUGUCUUUUUCCGUAUUGUAUUAUUCCUAUUCAUCUUCCCAUAGUUAUAUUUGUGCACUCUACCGUACAUGAUGUCAACUCACAUGUGAUUAGUGAGCCCGAGCAUUAUGGCUUGAUGGGUAUUCAUAUGUUGAUUGAUAUAUUUGGGAUCGGGUUGCGCGCCGCAACGGAGUUAUGUGGGAUACCCUUCCUUAUGUUUACUUCAUGUGUUUUGUUUUUCCCUUUUGUGGGAUGAGUUCCUAAAAAACCAUGCUUUUGUUACAUCAGCUGUACUCGUUGGAUAGUCCUCGUACCUUAUUUACUUUCGAUUUUUGCAUAUGUCUGAGUUAUUGCUUGUUGAUAUACGGACCGCGUUAUGUGAGGUUCUAUGUGACUUUUUGGUGUGACUUGUUUGUUGGACUGUUGGUAUUGGGCGAGACGAGGUUUCUAGACCUAGGAUUUGCACUAUGGUAUUGGCAUAAGGAAUGUAAGAAUAAUACCAUAUUUUCGCUAAGCAUUUGGCAAUGGUCCUUGUUGGAUGUGGGAGCUUCCCGACAUGCUGAUUUUAUGGGUGGUUACAAGCUUCUUCAUAUUUCAUUCAUUAUUAGCAGCAUUAUGAAGGUUCAAAACGAUAUUUCUUUUGAUAUGAGAUGUAUAACCAGUACCGGGUUUGGUGAUGAGUAGCUAUUGUGGUCAGAAGUUAUUAUUGUGAGUAUAUGAGUUAUGUGGCACAUCGUGUGGUUGGACCUUGGCAGUGUAUUGAUCGCUCGAUGUAGCUUGUUAUGGUUGAUACAGUAUGUACUUACAAAGAUCGGAUCUCAUAGGAGGUUCCGGAUGUUUGAAUUUGGUUCAACGGCCAAUGAGGGUAAGGCCGGAGGAAGAAUCUUCAGUUAGGAUCAUGCACAUUGACUAUAUGGGCCGAGGUGGCAUGAGAUCACUCAUGGGUACAAGUAUGAUGAGUUUAUUCAGCUAAUUGACGGUUUCGGAGAGACUCUUGGCACGUUCGAGUACGAACGUAUGUUUAAGUGGGGGAGAAUGUAACGACCCGACCGGUCGUUUUGAGUACUAACUUUAAUCUUAGUGUUUCGAGACCUCCCAUAGCUUCAUUUGAUAUUUAUUGAUUUGCGUGCGUAGUCUGUGUCACUUUUCUUAAAUGUUUUACGUAAAACUUUAAAGAAAAUAAAAUUUUUGACUUAAAAGAGGCUAGGGUUGACCAUGGUCAACAUUUUUAGUAAACUCGAAUUGGGUAUUUUGGCAAUUCUGGUAAGUCUGUAUGAUAUUUUUUGACUUGUACGUAUGUUUGGUUGAAAUGCGGGGUGACCCGAGCGAAUUUCGGCGCAUUAUGUGAAAAAAUUGAAAAUUUUGUUUUAAACUUGAAAAUUUGGAGUUUUGAUGGUCAAUUCUUGUUGUUUGAUGUUAUUUUGGUGGGAAUGAGCAAGUUCGUAGGAUAUUAUUAUACUUGUGUGCAUGUUUGGUUUGGAACCCGAGGGGCUCAAGUGAGUUUCGGGUGCAUUGCAUAUCAGUUUGGUACAGCAGUUGCUAGUGUCAACUUGCAGAUCUCGCAAAUGUGAGAAUAUUGCUCGCAAAUGUGAGCUUCGCUUAUGCGAGUCACUGCUCGUAUGUGCGAACGGAGCUGUGGAUUGGGCACUUUGCAAAUAUGAAGUUUUGAUCGCAAAUGCAGACUGUGGGAGCUCCGCAAAUGCGAUAUACCUAUCGCAUUUGUGAAGCUUGGGAAGGUUGGCCAGCUUCGCAAAAGCAAAGCUUAGAUCGGAAAUGUGCACAUAGGGGCAGUCGCUAAUGCGAACAUUUUGUCGCAAUUGCGACUUCUUGGGGCCUAUUGCACUGGUCGCUUUUGCGAUCAGUGUUUUGCAAAAGCUGACUACGCAAUUGCGAACAAGAGUUCGCAGUCACGAUACCUUCAACAGCGUAAAAGAGGGGGAAAUUGGGACUUAGCUCAUUUUACACCAUCUUUCAACCAUAAACACUCUAUAUACUAUUUUUGAAGAACGUUUCCAUCCCAAGUUUAUUGGUAAGCAUUUUAACUAAUUUUCAAUCAAUUUCAAUUAAUUUUCAUGAGUUUAACAUCAAAUUUAAGGAUUUCAUGGUAGAAAUUAGGGGUUUUGGGUAGAAUAUAGGGAUUUUAUACCUCAAACUAAGGUCAGAUUUCAAAAUAAAUCACAUAACCGAGCUCGGAGGUGAAUGGAUAAUCAUCUUUUGGUCCGCAUCCUAGGUUUUGUCCAAGCGGGCCCGAUGUUGACUUUUUUAAUUUAGCUAAAGAUUGAACCUUUUUCAUUUGUAGGUAGUUUCUAAAGCUUGUUCUGAAUUACUUGAACAAUAUUUGGCUAGAUUUUAUUGGUUUGGAGGCCUGUUCUAAAGGAAAAGCCGUGGUUGAUUGUUGACUUAUUUUCGAAAGAGGCCUGUUCAUUAAGUAUCUCGCUUUGGAGGCUUGUUCACUAAGUAUCUCGCUUAGCUUAGUUGGGAGAAUUUUUCUAACUAAUUGAUAUUGUAUGCUACAUGCGGUGGUGAGGCAUAUACGAGGUUAUGAGCAUAUAUGUAUGUCCAGGAUUUCCAUGUUCGGGAGGGGGAAAAUAUAUGCUUUGUUGUGUCUUUGUUGAACUUGAUGAUCCCUUAACCUAUGCUUCAUUUAAUUCGAUGACUAAUAAACUCAAUUAUCUGCGUUAGAAAUCAUGUUAGAAUAUAUGACAUCUUAAAAAGAGUUAAUAUGUUAUUUUCGAGAUUCAUCUGCAUACUUAACUUGAUCGUACUAUCAGGAACUUAUAUCUAUACAUGUUACUGUAAUGUUACUUGAGCUUCUUUUUUGUAAUAAGAGAUGAUGAUUGGGGCCUUAGGGCUAUGUUUGGCACGAUGGGUAAUUCCGUGCAGUUGAUAUGAUGUUGGCACAAUGAGUAUUUCCUUGCUAUUGGAAAUGAGAUUGGUUUGUUGGUUAUUAUCGUGCGAAAAGAAAGAAAGUUGGAUUUCUGUAAUGAUUACUCAUUCGUUAAACAUUUAUGUGCCAUUUACAUUGGUUUUAUUAAUAUUUGUUGUUACGUGUGCUACCUCAUGUUUGAGUUCCUUAUGUAGUUACUUCUGUGUUUUCCAUCUGGCCUGUUACUGUUAUAGUCAUAUUUUUACCUAACCUGUUACUGAUACACCUACGAUUUAACAUAAUUUACUUAUGCUACAUGUCCUCUUCGAAUUCAUGCCUUUACUUGAUAUUAGUCCAUACCUGUUGUAUGCCUCUAAUUGUCGCAUGAUUUACUUGUUAAAGGCCUUAAUAUGCUAAAUAUCUUCACUCACUAUAUGCUUUUACUUACUAAAUAUCUUAAAGAGUCCUAAUUUGAUUUGCUUGUGUAAUUAGUUGCUAAUAUGAUCCCUUAGGAAACCUUUAUAAUUAACCUGUUCUUAAGCAUUGUAUAUCUCUAACAUAUCUAGCUACUUCAACUAUCUAUAAGUUAUAUAAAUGUUUUACCCGAUCAAAGUUAAUAGAAGAUGAUAAAAAGCUCUACUCUAUAAAAUAUCGAAGCGUUACAAUAAGUUUUCACGUCUAUUUUUGGUUACUUUGCUUUAUAUAUAUAUAUAUAUAUUCUUUUAUUUUCGAUUAAUUGUUAUAUAUAUAUAUAUAUAGGGAAUAGAGGAUCGCUUCCAAUGGAGCUUCCAGAAUAAAUUACAAGAACACCAACCCUGGCUAGUCAUACUCUCAACAGUAGACACUAAACUACGGUCCCUUUCUACAACCCUUACGCGCCUAUCCAUCGGCUUAACCGGUUAAUAGGGACCACCGGUUAUGUUUCUAUAACCAGGGUUUACUAUCAAAAUUAAAACUGCCUGGACUAUAUUGUUCUUAACCUUAGAACUCCAUCCGAAUUGAUACAGUAUUCUUAAUAAUUAAGCAUGCUCAACAAAAUAGAUUAGGUAGACUAAGUUUAACACUUAAAUAUUUAGCCUUUCAUUUAGGCUAAAUAAAUAUCUAAAAUUUAUUAACUAAGGGAACAGUGAACCAACCUGAGACUGUCGUAUUGUGGCCAAGUGACCUUUUUUGAUUUUUAUUGCACAAAUGAAAUCUUUACAAGAGAGUAGUUACAAGAGGGAAUUCUAGAGAGAGGAGGGCU